rnacentral:rRNA from 1 species
UGAGGAAUAUUGGUCAAUGGCCGGAAGGCUGAACCAGCCAAGCCGCGUGAAGGACGAAGGUGCCAAGCAUUGUAAAACUUCUUUUGUCAAGGGACAAAAUCAGGCUCGAGAGCCUGACCGAGGGUACUUGAAGAAAAAGCAUCGGCUAACUCCGUGCC